CAAAAAUUGAUUUUAAUUGAUUUUUAAUCUAUAACAAACAAUCAUGAAAAAUAAUUGCUCCCCAAACAGGGGCUAAAGGUGCAAAACUAAUGAUCGAUUCAUUCAGCAAAAACAGCUGAAUAUAUAUGUAGAAAAUGUAAAUCAACUCAUUUCAUGCCAUUAAACCAUCUAAAUACUGUGUAUAGAGAUUAGAUCGGAAGGGGAUUUUUCAACUUUUCCUUUUUGACCAUUCGUGGCUUACCAUUUCUCUCCUUUAUACUGCCAUAUUGUUUCUUCUUCAUCCUUCUCCCAGUCAAGAAACGUAAGCCUACCAGCAAGACCACUAAGGAAACAACGACAAUUGGAACAACUAUAGCAAUAAUAACUUGUCUUGAGAUUCCCCUUUUUCCUGUAUUAAGAAUAAAAGGUAAAUCGGGAUUCAAAACUUGCUUCUAUCUAUAGUUGUUCGAGUAUCUUACAGAUUAGCACAAGUUUUCUAGCCUAUGUUGAACUUAAAAUUCUGAAAAAUUGAUGGAGAUAUACAGACAUAUGUAGUGGUUAGGAAGUGUUUAAUUAUGCAGGACAAUUGACGGAAAAGAGAUGUUUUGGAUUAGGACGUUACCUUGUUUGUUAUUAGGCGCAGGUGCAGGUGCAGGGACGGUUGUGGCGUUGUAGAAGUGGUAAAUCUCAUACCUAAUAUUGCAGCUAGAGGAAAUGACCCUUGCUCCUUGCGUAUAUUCACAACAUUUUGGUAAGAUGGAGGUGGCAUUUGAAAGGCAGAAGUGACAAUCUUCACUAGAGAGAUCAGGUCUGCACUGUGCUAGUGUGUACAACUUCACAGAUGCCAUUAAGUCAGCAUCUUUGGUAGCAAAUUUCUUGCCAGAGAAUUUAUUAGCAGCCUGAACUACUGCCUUAUUCAUCGUAUCUACUAAUACAUAGAUGAAAUUAUAUGGAUCACCACUGAAAUUCUGAGUAUUACGCAUGAUUAACUUAGAUGAAAAAUCAACCCUGGAGAAUAUUGAUAGAUUUGAGUACCAUAACAUGCAUUCCUCAUAUCAAAUUGUUGCCUCUUUUUGGUUGGGACAACAUUGUAAGAUUAUAGUUGUAGCAUUUUCCAUACAUUUCUCACAGACAUCGAUGUUAACAUCACCUCUACAUAGAAAGAAACCAUAGAUUGUGUCCGAAGGGCUGUGGUCAACAGUGUAGUUAUAGUAUCCAUUCUCGUGGGUAGCAUUUGAGGAUAAAUUAAGGAAAAGUUGAUUUAAGUUGGACUGAUAGGUGCUAUUAGGACUGUACGUAGUUGUAUUUGGGCAGAAAUAAUAAAUAAGAUUCACGGAGCUAACGCUUCUCGUGCUAAAGAAAAA
rnacentral:lncRNA from 1 species